UCGUGAAUUAGGUUAGUCUAUUUCUGUCGGAUUCCUCCAUUCCCUGUGUUCUGAUUUGUUGUGAUACAAUACUUAUUAUUUUUUUCUAAGCUACAUUUCUUUUUAAAAAUCAUGGUUUUAAGUGAAAAAGAGCAACAGUGAGUGCAUCAUCCAUCCGCUGAAGGCAAUUUCGCUGAAAUCACUGGAAAUGAAUACCCAGAGAAUGAAAAAUGAUCAGAAGGUUUUUGGAGAGAUUCAUGAGGUUUCAGAAAAAUAUAAGAAAUGGUGGACACAGAAACUCAUCGUAUGAAAAAAAUUGUAAAAUCGACCAGUGAUGUCGUUAUUUUAGAUAAGGAUGUAGGUUGUCAUUAAAUACAUAUUAUGCUACAUAUCAACAGAUAAUCAACAAGCCACAUAACGAUUUUACAGUUUGCAAGUAAAAUGUAUGAAAAAACGUUGGGCUUCUCAAGCAAUGAAAAUGGCGUCGCUUCAGCAAAUUUAAAGUGCGCAACCGCUGCUGGCACUGCGCCAGCUUGAUCAUCUACAGUACACGACGACCUGAGAUUUGAAUUAACAUUGUCUCUUAAUGGAAAAUUCUAUUCUGCUUAUUGCCAACGUGGUCAAAGGAGAGUGUAGUAGUUUGUUACAGUAAACUUUUGAUUUUUAAACGAAAACAAAAGGCCGUAAAGGAAGGCACUGAUUUCACUGGGGCAAGUACCGUCAAAAUUAAGGAAAUUAAACAGCUGCAAGGAUCCAGUUCUUUAAAAAAAAAACACGGUUUAAAGUUAAAAGCGAGAGCGGUUUCAGUUCUUUUAAAAAAAGAUGGGCUGAGACCGAGCUUCAAAUCCCGCCCACAGCGAGAUGCAGUGGUUAAAAACAUAUUCCACAAACUGAACAUCAGAUCGUGCUUUCUUUCCUCGUUACAACAACUUUAGUUGCCGUCCAGCAAAGGAAAGAAAAGGGAUUUUUUUCUAAUUUAAAUCAAGCUUUUCCGACGAGGUAGGACAGGCGCUAAAUCAGCUAAAGUGACGGACCGAAUGCAAUGAAGAGAGGCGAUGCCGGAGAUUCUUAGCCCAGGUUUUAUAUUUUAUUUCCAGAGAUCGGUGCGAGCAGCAAAAGGGUGGAAAUCGGCUUAAAAUUGAAUAAGAUGAAGGGGAAGGAGAGGGAUUCACUGAUAUCGCCAUGUUGCGCGAAAUCGACAGCUCGCCCUCGGCACUUAAAAUGGAAGCUUUAAUUUUAAACAAAAUCAUUUAAACAAAAACUCGAACGAAUCGAGUCGAAAUGAUUCGGGGAACCUUAAGGGGAACUUAAAAGUCUUUUUUUUUUAAAGAAACAAAAAAUCGGCAUCCAAACCCGCCCGUUGCCAUAAACAAGCGUAGACGGAAAGGCUUCACUCGGUUUUUUUCCUCUACUCGCGAUGGGCUUUAGGUUUAUCUUAUUUUAGCUGUUCGGGAGGAAGCAGCUGCUGGCCAACGGUAGUAGAAUGGGCAGUGAGCCCAGCGUGGCACCGGGGUCCUUGCCCUGAACCAAGCGUGCGUGCGCAUCCACCCCGCCGGCCGGCCGCGCCCCAGGCACCGCCCACACCGCCGCUCAUUGGUCGCCUUCCACAGAGACUGAGGUUUUGCUGGGGAGCGCUUCACCUCAAAGAUCCUAUAGCUUCCCCUCCUGCUCUCUGUCCCGCUGAGUUUCUCCAUCCAGCUUUUUAUCUCUUAUCUGCCUUCCCACUCCGGUAACUUUGCAUUUUUCCCAGUCCGCCCUUUUAUUUAGCGGCGUUUGGACUAGUUGCUUAAAGACAGCGUUGACCUUUCACCCUGUAUCCACGCCUUCCUUCAGUAGAAGGAAUGUAGUUGAGUUUCGCGAAUCGCCCCUGAACUUUCACGUACUGUGUUGGAAUUCAGUUUUGCAACAACAGUGAUACGAGGGAAGUGACCCUUAGACAUAAUCGACUUUGUGUAACUCGGGUUGAGAUCAUGGUGUCGUUUGAUUUUCGUUGCAGUGCAGAUUGCAGCAUAAUCUGCAAUGUUAGAUGCUGUCUCACCUGCUGAGUUUCUCCAGCAUUUUUGUCUACUUGCUACUUCCUUAACGUUUGCUAAUAGUAGAUUCCACUUUCAAUAACUCCGACGUGUAAAUGGUUACUAAAAUGUUUUGUGACUCGUUCAACUCGGGCGUUUUAUUCCUGCUCCAUUAAAUAAAAACAUAUUAAAAUCCGAAAA